rnacentral:lncRNA from 1 species
GGAGCCUGAGAGGCUCAGCUCUGCAGGAAGAGGGGAAGGAGGAAGACUGCGGGAGUCUGGUGACGGAAGGCGGUCAGAGCUAACAGCACCGGAUAUUAUCAGAAUUUACCGAGUAUCCUUUGAGAACUGGAAGCAGCUACACUCCAUGCAUUCAGUCUCCUGAUUCUCGGUGAAGAACAAGAGGAUCCAGUAUUGUGUAGAGGUCCUUCUUUGUCAUCUGAUGAUGGGAUGAUGGCUGUUUUGGUGAUGACUUUCCAAAACUGUGUUAGUACUUGAGGUCAAAACUCUGAAUUUCCAUCCUGAAUGGUAAAGAGAUCGUCAGGGCUAUACUUCUGUUUAAGUCAUCUGUACUCAACACUGAAAAUGAGACACGGUAUUCACAUCACUUCACUUGUAUUUGCUAGACAGAGGAGCCUGGCGGGACUACAGUUCAUGGGAUCACGAAAAAGUCGGACAUGACUUGGCGACUAAAACAAUAACAAUUUGUAUUUACUAGUAUAUUUCUAUUACUAAAUAUCACUAUACUCAUAUGAUUUACCUUCAUAGAAUGACGAUCAGAAAGACAAGAACAAUCAGGAAAGUUAUAGUAUCAGGAUGACCUAUCUUCCCAUAUGGUGGACACAAAUUGAUGUUUUAGAUUAAUAUAUGCAAAAAACAAUCUAUUUGCUUUGGAAAAUGGUCAGUAGACAUCAUUCUCUACUCCCUUAAAACCUUGAGCAUUUAACUUAAAAAAUACAUUUCUUUUACUUACAAAAAAACAUUUGAUUCUAAAACAUUUGUCAAUAAAGGAGUUUCUUAAUAGCA